ACGGGUAGCCGGCCUGAGAGGGCGACCGGCCACAUUGGGACUGAGAUACGGCCCAGACUCCUACGGGAGGCAGCAGUGGGGAAUAUUGCACAAUGGGCGGAAGCCUGAUGCAGCAACGCCGCGUGCGGGAUGACGGCCUUCGGGUUGUAAACCGCUUUCAGCAGGGGCGAAGCUUGUGGUGACGGUACCUGCAGAAGAAGCACCGGCUAACUACGUGCCAGCAGCCGCGGUGAUACGUAGGGUGCGAGCGUUGUCCGGAUUUAUUGGGCGUAAAGAGCUCGUAGGUGGUUGAUUGCGUCGGAAGUGAAAACUUGGGGCUUAACCCUGAGCGUGCUUUCGAUACGGGUUGACUUGAGGAAGGUAGGGGAGAAUGGAAUUCCUGGUGGAGCGGUGGAAUGCGCAGAUAUCAGGAGGAACACCAGUGGCGAAGGCGGUUCUCUGGACCUUUCCUGACGCUGAGGAGCGAAAGCGUGGGGAGCGAACAGGCUUAGAUACCCUGGUAGUCCACGCUGUAAACGGUGGGUACUAGGUGUGGGGUCCAUUCCACGGAUUCCGUGCCGUAGCUAACGCAUUAAGUACCCCGCCUGGGGAGUACGGCCGCAAGGCUAAAACUCAAAGGAAUUGACGGGGCCCCGCACAAGCGGCGGAGCAUGCGGAUUAAUUCGAUGCAACGCGAAGAACCUUACCUGGGUUUGACAUGGACUGGGAGUGCUCAGAGAUGGGUAUGCCUCCUUGUGGGGCUGGUUCACAGGUGGUGCAUGGCUGUCGUCAGCUCGUGUCGUGAGAUGUUGGGUUAAGUCCCGCAACGAGCGCAACCCUCGUUCACUGUUGCCAGCACGUUAUGGUGGGGACUCAGUGGAGACCGCCGGGGUCAACUCGGAGGAAGGUGGGGAUGACGUCAAGUCAUCAUGCCCCUUAUGUCCAGGGCUUCACGCAUGCUACAAUGGCCGGUACAAAGAGUUGCGAGCCUGUGAGGGUGAGCGAAUCUCGGAAAGCCGGUCUCAGUUCGGAUUGGGGUCUGCAACUCGACCCCAUGAAGUCGGAGUCGCUAGUAAUCGCAGAUCAGCAACGCUGCGGUGAAUACGUUCCC
rnacentral:rRNA from 1 species